CCACACUAUAGCUUACAUGUGUAUGUGUGUUGUUACUGUUCUUAGGAAGAGUGCUGAAAAGAUUGAGGAAACUGUUAGUGAUAGCUCCUCAGAAAGUGAGGAAGAUGAAGAACCACCUGACCAUCGUCAGGAAGCAAGUGCAGAUUUGCCAUCAGAAUAUUGGCAAAUUCAGAAGCUGGUGAAAUAUUUAAAGGGGAAGGUCUUAUUACCCUGAGGAUGCAAGAUUCAUGCUCAUGGAGCAACCAGGCUGCCUGGUACCAACCCUCUCUCCUGGCUGGGGAGUGCGCAUGGUAAACAGCUGACACUGAGACUUGCUGCCAUUUUAUGAUUUGUAGUAUGGUGUGGAAGAAAUAACAUGGAUUUUUAAAGUGGACUUCGGUUAAACUCCAGGCUGUUUGACUUACUAGCAACGUAGCUGUUGAAACGUUACAGUUUUGAGCCCUAAUUUUCUCAACCCUUGGAAUAAAAUUAAUAUACCUGUACUACAGGACUAUUAUAAAGUUUAAGAAAACACACUUGAAACAUACAGCGUGGUUUCUGAGACAUUGUGGGUGUUUAUAAUGUGGAUUGGUUCAUUUUCAUUUCUCUCAAGUCAGAUAGCAUAUACGAGAAUAUUUUACAUAAUAAUUGGCCACGUAAUGUAUUUAAGUACUUGAAUUUGCAGGAGGGCAAGGGGAAUGGCUCACCAAAACCCAGAUUAAUAUUCAUUUCUGACGUCAGAUAGCAAGUAUUGAUGAUAUCUAGGCCUUGUGUAAAGCCGACGUCCAGAGUAUUUGUGAAAAAGCAUUUGACUCAACUCAUGUUUUCUUUCCGCUUUUCUAUGUCUUUGGUCAAAUCAGCCAAGGGCAUUUGCCAGUGGCUUUGCUUGAUUCAAUCAUUGCAGUGUAAACAUUUAUCAAAAUAUCACAUUUUACUCCACAAAAAUACACAAGUAUUCUUUGUCAAUUAAAAGUAAUUUGUAUUUUGGCUGGGCGUGGUGGCUCACGCCUGUAAUCCCAGCACUUAGGGAGGCCGAGGUGGGUGGAUCAUCUGAGGUCAGGAGAUCAAGACUAGCCUGG
rnacentral:lncRNA from 1 species